rnacentral:rRNA from 1 species
CCUACGGGUGGCAGCAGUGAGGAAUAUUGGUCAAUGGUCGGGAGACUGAACCAGCCAAGCCGCGUGAGGGAUGAAGGUGCCAAGUAUUGUAAACUUCUUUUGUCAGGGAACAAAGACUGGCACGCGUGCCUGGUUGAGUGUACCUGAAGAAAAAGCAUCGGCUAACUCCGUGCCAGCAGCCGCGGUAAUACGGAGGAUGCGAGCGUUAUCCGGAUUUAUUGGGUUUAAAGGGUGCGUAGGCGGUCUGUUAAGUCAGCGGUAAAAGCCCGGGGCUCAACCCCGGCCCGCCGUUGAAACUGGCAGUCUUGAGUAGAGGAGAGGUAGGCGGAAUGCGCGGUGUAGCGGUGAAAUGCUUAGAUAUCGCGCAGAACUCCGAUUGCGAAGGCAGCAUACCGGCU